rnacentral:rRNA from 1 species
AACGAACGCUGGCGGCAGGCCUAACACAUGCAAGUCGAACGGGUCCUUCGGGACUAGUGGCGGACGGGUGAGUAACGCGUGGGAACGUGCCCUUUGGUUCGGAAUAGCCCCGGGAAACUGGGAGUAAUACCGGAUAAGCUCUUCGGAGGAAAGAUUUAUCGCCAAAGGAUCGGCCCGCGUUGGAUUAGGUAGUUGGUGGGGUAAUGGCCUACCAAGCCGACGAUCCAUAGCUGGUUUGAGAGGAUGAUCAGCCACACUGGGACUGAGACACGGCCCAGACUCCUACGGGAGGCAGCAGUGGGGAAUCUUAGACAAUGGGGGAAACCCUGAUCUAGCCAUGCCGCGUGAUCGAUGAAGGCCUUAGGGUUGUAAAGAUCUUUCAGCUGGGAAGAUAAUGACUGUACCAGCAGAAGAAGCCCCGGCUAACUCCGUGCCAGCCGCCGCCGUAA